rnacentral:lncRNA from 1 species
UGGCCAUAGUAGUGUGAUUGAUGGAAAAGAGUUUCCAUGAAAAUCAUAAUUCGACUUGAACUGAUCGAAUCUAUCAUAUGACUGAUGUUGAGGUUUGACGAUUUAUCCAUGACCUGCCAUCUAGUCAGGACUCAUGAUAGAGGGACUAAAUCAUAUGUUAACUACACCUUGAGGUUCAUUUCAGUUCUACUGGGUUGCCCCUACAUACUGCUAGGUGU